UGUAAUUUUGUAAAUGUAUACAUGUCAAUUUGCUUGACCCUGUAAUUUUGUAAAUGUAUACAUGUAAAUUUGCUUGAUGCUGUAAUUUGUAUACAUGUACCUUUGCUUGACCUUGUAAUUUUGUAAAUGUAUACAUGUAAAUUUGCUUGAUGCUGUAAUUUGUAUACAUGUACCUUUGCUUGACCUUGUAAUUUUGUAAAUGUAUACAUGUAAAUUUGCUUGAUGCUGUAAUUUUGUAAAUUUAUACAGGUAAAUUUGCUUGACUUUGUACUUUUGUAAAUGUAUACUGGUAAAUGUUGUGCUUGAGUAUGUAUGUACUUUUGUAAAUUUACAUUUUAUCACUGUACACUAAUGUUAUCACUUUCUGUGCUGUCAGUGUAUGUGAUGUCCACCUCUGGUGUUUAAUGUUUGCAUGAUCCUUGGUGUGAUCACCUUUAUCUGCAUGUUGCAUGAUUUAAUUUAACAUUCAGCUCGUAGAUGUUGGUUUUUCUUUUUUGUGUGCAAUUUUUAACUUUACAAAUCAGGUUUAAAAUCACCAAUUCUGCCAAACUGUGACACCAUUUGAUCAUAAAUGGUCUUUAACAUCAUUAAACAGUUUGGACUUUUAGAGCUGGCUUGUCUCCCUCUGCCAAGUUAAUUUCUACUAAAGACUUGUUUGCCCUUCUGUGGUAUUUAGAUGACGUUGGGAGGCCUCCCAGCAGAGGAAUAAUGUCCUCUGCAAAAUGAAGCGUUUCACUGGAUACAUGCAGGGCUAAGUUGACAAAUUUCUAAACAUGUUUAUGUAAUCUCGUAGGCAUACAGGUUAGGUUGCGCGUUUAGGGUCUUUAGUAGAAACUAUACUUGGCAAAGAGACAACCCAAAACUAAUAAUGAUUAAGUUAAUAUUUAUAACUUUUAAAAACUUAAGUUCUAUGGGCCUAGUUGCAGAAAAUAAAGGGACAGGAGUUCUAAUGCUAAUUCUCAAUUUAUGGUUUUGUUAAAGUAUGUAGUUUAGUCUGUGUCUUAGUUAAACUGAAAUGGAUGACCCUCAGUGUGAUUACCUAUGUACAUGUGAUUGGCAGGACACCUGAGAGAUGGUAUUCACUUGUGUUAAUUUAAUUCACCGGUGUUUAAUCUAGGUUGAUUGUGUAAAAGUGUUCAAUGAUCAGUGUAAGUGGGUGGUGCAGGAACAGGUGGUGUAGGCCUCACCAAGACUGUCCUAAUUGACUGAAUGUGGUAAGAUCAGUCAGUUAAACAGGUAAGAUUUCUUGCCCCUGAUUGGUCGGUGUUGGAUCCAUACAACCUCUGGAAAUGUGGCCUCCUUUGAUCUUCUCAGCCACAGGAUUUCUCCAGGUUUGUUCUUCACAUUGACCAUUGUUAAAUCUGUUCAAGUAAAUCUCCAAACUGACUGAUCUGAUCUGUGUUUCUAGGAUUAUUUGGACCAGAGUAGACCAAGUAUGGUGAAGAUGGAUCCUGGUUAAAGAGUUCUGAGCAAGACACAGGACUUAUGUGAGAAGCAAACUCCCAAUGAAGAGCACCGUUAAAAAAGACAGACCUGCAACUGCAAAACACGGAGAAGCUACAUCCUGGUCUGGUCCAGUCACAACUGCAGUCAAGAUAAUCCAGACCUGCUUCCGUUCUACUGGCUUUGUUAAGGAAUUGGCCCCCAAGGACCCAGUCUCACCACAGCUGAUGGGAGUUUCCAUUCUACUUCCUGCUCAGCUGUAUAAAUAUAUAUUUCUUUGGUUGAUUUUUUUUUUUUUUCUAUAAGGUUGACCAAGUUUUGCUUUUGUUUACAAUCAAUCAGAAUUGAAUGAGCUGGAUUUCUUUUACACUUAACAAGGUAAACAGAGUAGACUCAUAUGGAAAGGUCUUUGUCCUUCCGCUUUUUCUUGGUGCUUAAAGAAAUCUACCCAUGAAUUCUUGCUGAGUGCUGCACAAUGGAAGCAGUUUCCAAAAUCAGACAUGGAUCCAUCUGAUUUUGUGACCUGUUCCAUUCACGGUGCAACAUCAUCCCUCAAAAAUGCUACCAACCAGUCAAUGUGAAUUCCUUUAGAACAGAAUGAAUGAAAAUAUGGUUUAUGAUUAAGUGGAUGUAGUAAUUUUAUCAGUGCCUUGUUUGUUCCUUUUCUUUGGGUUGG